UUCCGGUUGAUCCUGCCGGACCCCACUGCUAUCGGGAUAGGACUAAGACAUGCUAGUCACGCCAGCCAAGAGUGGCGCACAGCUCAGUAACACGUGGCUAACCUGCCCUUGGGACGGAGACACCCCCGGGAAACUGGGGCUAAUCCCCGAUAGGUGAAGAACUCUGGAAUGAGUCUCCACCUAAAAGACUUACCGCCCAAGGAUGGGGCCGCGACCGAUCAGGUUGUUGGUGAGGUAACGGCCCACCAAGCCUUUUACCGGUGCGGGCCGUGGGAGCGGGAGCCCGGAGAUGGGCACUGAGACAAGGGCCCAGGCCCUACGGGGCGCAGCAGUCGCGAAAACUUUGCAAUACACGAAAGUGUGACAGGGUUAUCCCGAGUGCCAUCCGCUGAGGAAGGCUUUUACCCAGUUUAGAACGCUGGGAGAAUAAGGAGAGGGCAAGAUCUGGUGUCAGCCGCCGCGGUAAUACCAGCUCUCCGAGUGGUGUGGAUGUUUAUUGGGCCUAAAGCAUCCGUAGCUGGCCAAGUUAGUCCCCUGUUAAAUCCACCGAUUUAAUCGUUGGCGUGCGGGGGAUACUGCUCGGCUAGGGGACGGGAGAGGCAGACGGUAUUUCCGGGGUAGGGGUGAAAUCCUAUAAUCCCGGGAGGACCACCAGUGGCGAAGGCUGUCUGCUAGAACGUGCCCGACGGUGAGGGAUGAAAGCUGGGGGAGCGAACCGGAUUAGAUACCCGGGUAGUCCCAGCUGUAAACGAUGCAGGCUAGGUGUUUGGACGGCCACGUGCCGUUCUAGUGCCGCAGGGAAGCCGUUAAGCCUGCCGCCUGGGGAGUACGGUCGCAAGGCUGAAACUUAAAGGAAUUGGCGGGGGAGCACCACAAGGGGUGAAGCUUGCGGUUUAAUUGGAUUCAACGCCGGA
rnacentral:rRNA from 1 species